rnacentral:rRNA from 1 species
AUCCUGGCUUAGGAUGAACGCUAGCUACAGGCUUAACACAUGCAAGUCGAGGGGCAGCAGGACGAUAGCUUGCUAUUGUCGCUGGCGACCGGCGCACGGGUGAGUAACGCGUAUCCAACCUUCCCCUUAGUAGAGGAUAGCCCGGCGAAAGUCGGAUUAAUACUCUAUGUUGUAUUUUGAGGACAUCUGACGAAUACCAAAGAUUCAUCGCUAAGGGAUGGGGAUGCGUCUGAUUAGCUUGUUGGCGGGGUAACGGCCCACCAAGGCGACGAUCAGUAGGGGUUCUGAGAGGAAGGUCCCCCACAUUGGUACUGAGACACGGACCAAACUCCUACGGGAGGCAGCAGUGAGGAAUAUUGGUCAAUGGGCGAGAGCCUGAACCAGCCAAGUAGCGUGCAGGAAGAACCUGCCCUAUGGGUUGUAAACUGCUUUUAUCAGGGAAUAAAGUUCGGCACGUGUGCUGUUUUGUAUGUACCUGAUGAAUAAGGACCGGCUAAUUCCGUGCCAGCAGCAGC